rnacentral:lncRNA from 1 species
GAGAAAAAGAAAAAGAUACGAGGAAAUAAAAAGGAGCAAGUGCUCGGAACCUCGAAAGAAAAGAAAAAGAUGAGCAUCUCAUUCUCCUCAUAAAGUUUCAAAAGCAAGGAAGGUAUGUAACCCUUCAAAAGAGCAAAGUAGAAUUAGACUUCCACCACCAUUGUUUCCACCAUUGUUAUCACCGUUAUCACCAUACACCAUUCAUUCGCCACACAUGCACAUCUUGAUUUGGCUUAUUGAUAUGUUUCUUUGGAUCCAUGGUUUGACUAUGCAAUAAAUGUCUUGUAAGUAUGUAUACUUUAUCUCCCACCUAUGAGCUCCAGAUAUUAAAGCCUUAUUAGAGUAGGGUGAGAGAGAAGGCAAUGUCACUAUGCCUCAUACCACAAAUACUACAUAUCUUGAGAGAAGGCAUAUACCAUCACUGCCUUGGUAAGGAUCCAGAAAUACCACAAAAGAGAGAUAUGAGAGAAUCAUACAAGGAAUCUUUGAGUUUUAUUUGAAAAUCUGCAAAAACCCUAGAGCUAUAGUUGAUCAAGAAUAAGAGACAUGGCACUUGGCUAGAUUGUUCUAUCUUUUAACUACUCAAGACAGAAGUGACAGUUACAAGUCCCAUGGUGAAGGUAAAGUAAGUAAGUUUUAAGUCUUGACAGUUUACUCUAACUCAGAGACGAGAUCUUAUUCAAAAGCAUGUGUACCGUCAAUUUUUUAAAUAUUGCAACAACUUAUGAUCCAUAGCUGAGUCUAUCCUUGCUCAGGGACGAGCAAGAGGUAAGCUUGGGGGAGUUUGUUGACGGUCCUUAAGUAUCAAAUUUAAUUAUCAAAUAAAUAAAGAAAAGGAUCUAAAUGAAAUCAACAUCCAGACUUAGGGUUUUAUCUGACAGAAUUCCACGAGUUUUGGUGUUUGUCUAUUUCUGUAGGGGGUUAUCAAGAAAUAUGGAAGAAAUGCCCAAAUGUUGGGAUUACGUAAAUAUAUUAACGUGCUGUGCAAUUACCUUACAUCUAGAAGACUCCAGAAGCCACGAGACCGAAGCGGAAGCGAAACGGGGCCUGAGCCUGGGCGGCCGCCCAGUUGGUCAGGGCGCCCGCCCUGCCCCUGAGUCCAAUCAGGACUCUGCUUUGCGGGAGAUCUCCACCGACCUAAAGGAUGAAUCUAAACCAUACAAUCUAUGUCGGUUUGAUCCAAUGGCCCAUAUUCACUUGGAGGGACUAUAAAACCAGACCCCCUGGCCCCUGGAGGAGAGAGCCUCUCAACCCUAAUUCAUUGUUCCAUCAAGGGAGAAGAAGCCUCUGAUCAAGAUUAGAGCCACCACAUCAAUUAGACAUCUAGAUUAGCAUAGCUACAUAGGAUUAGAACUAGAAGGAGUCAAUCUUUGAUUGGUUUCCGGAUCUGUCAGGAGGAUUCUUGGUAAUUCUCUAAUUGUGCUUCUAAUUGCUUUCUAAUUAUCUUUGUUCUUCAAUAUUAUGAAUAUGACUUUGUUCUACUUCAAUAUAUUGCUUUCAAGAUUAUAUUGUUCUUAGUUUAUCAUAGUUAUGUACUUGGCUUAGUUAGAUACGAUCUAUAUACAUGCUUAGGAUCGUAUAGCGUUUAUCCAUCGGAUCCAUGGGUAAAUGAUAGAUAUUGUGUAGGCGUGGUGCUUAUACCGUAUUUAUCUGCGAUUGUACCCAAUAUGCCAGAUCGUGGGGUGGUUCGUGAUAGUGACAGCUUCAUUGAUUCUUAUAUAGUCCCCCUCUCAUGUAUUGGGCUGGCAGAGCAACAUUAUUACAGGGGAGUGAUUGCUAUGUUUCUCAUAUUCCUUGCUAAUAUCACUAUGCAUGGGCGUAGUCUUGUCUCACAAUGAUUGCUAAGUAUGCUUGCACUAAUUAUGAUAAUGCUAGACUAUAUAGUUGAGAAUAACUUAGGGAAUAUUCUUGUAGUUCGUUCUAAUACCAUGCUAAUGACUUUCUAGAGUAUCUAAUUGAGGUGCUUAUCAUAUUUAUUAUGUGGCUAGAUCAGAUUAGUUAUCCUUGUCACUAUUAUUAUUUCAUAUAUCUUUUAUGUAACACUUAUCCCUGUAUGAGAAGUUAGAUAUAAUGUUCUCAAUUAUACAUGCAAUGAUAGAUGCUCAAUCUCAUAUUCUAUUCUGUAAUCAAUAGUGCUGAUUGCUAAUCCCUUCCCAGUGGUAAAAAUAUAAAUAACGAUACCUGGAAUACUUCCCGGUUAAAAUGCUACAUCGGUAUUAAUCUGUGCGCUUGCAGAUCCCAUUCAUUAUUUAUUUAGAAGAGCAAUUGCAUAUUUCAAUACCGCGUCUCUCAUAUCAUGCUGGGGAUGACAACUUGGCUUAAGUGGUGUGAGGGAUAGGUUUGGCAUUUUUGGCACCGUUACUAGAUUUAGAGAACUUAGUCUACUUUUGGUAAUGAUGUUAAGAAUACCCAACAGCAUGCAUUCGUCUCUCGAUACGAUAACUAUCGAUUUACACGUGCGCUGUUAGAGUACCUGCAGAAAACUUCAUUGCAGCCCAACAAUACCCAAUAUAUCACUCAAGAAAGCAGUAAACUAAGUGCACAUUGCUUGUACAGGCCCAACAUGCACAAACAAUGACACCACAGCUACCCGAGAAAUUAAAUGCUCCCCAAUUAAGUUUCUUUCGUGGUUCCAUGGUUAGACAUAUAACCACUAUAAAAAACCACCGCGAACACUCCCCUAGACCGCCGUUUGGAUGAUCAUGCUCUCACAGCUCACACUUACCAAGGCGUAGGUGUGACGUUGCAUAAUUUAAAUCUAGCGACAUAUGUGGCUAAUUCAUAUAUGAAGGCUACCUCUACCAUUAGACCACAGGGUAGCAUAGUGCGGUCAUCACACAUCCAUACCUGAGUACUGCCGGAGAUGCAUAAAUAAACCCCCCCAAGUCAGUACUUAAAUAGCCACCUAUAGUCCUUAUAUGGGCAAGGAGGAUUCGACCAUUGGCAUAAUUAAGUAUUUAAUUUUUCACAGUUUUAUUUAAAAACUAUUUUGUUUUUAAAUACACAAACGCUGCAUUUAUAAUGCUGAACUUGCUCCGAUGCCAGCUGUCACAGAACCGACUAAAUUAUAAGAGUUCAAGUGUAGAAAUGAUCAACUAGCAAUCAAGUUUCUAAACUUGAGCCCAUAUAAUCCCGGUAGUCAACUGAAAUCACGAAGGACUUCAACCCAACUUGCAACAAACCAAGAUCAUAAUAGUUCAACAUAACACAGCAAAUGUUACAUAGUCAUUCAUCGCCGUCGAAGCGGCACCACAUCGGAGUUACUUAGUCAUUACUACACAAGUUUGUAGUAGCAGAAGCAAAAUAGUUUACAACACACAUUCCAAAGUUCAGUUCAUAAGUUCUUGUUUCUGCCAGAGUCUCAUGCCAUCCAUCAAAAGCAAUAGGUACGAAGUAGUUAGAGAACCGUGCCCAACGGUUUAGUCCUCAUCCCCAGCGGGAUGUAGACAGGUCUUGCAGAAGCCAUCAUAAAAGAUAUCAUCUGCAACAGGUGGGAAUAAACCCUGAGUACGAGAAUGUACUCAGCUAGACUUACCCGUCUAGUAAACAUAAAAGACACCAAGGAUCAUGCAAGUCUAAGUAUAAAGUGUAGCUGGUUUGACUCAACAUUUGCCAAAAGCUUUAGUAGAGACUACACCAAUUGUAACAGCAUCAUGUUAAAUAUCAUUAGCCUACCACUAGAUUAGCACCUAUACUAAAGCACUUCACUUUGAUUAAUACACACAAUAAUAACCACAUCAAGUUCAUCAUAUGCUCUUCCUUGCUAUCAUCAUUAUCACGAACCAUUGUUCUUUAGUGAAUGCUACGUUUGCCGCUGCUCUGUCAAGUUCUCACUAUCCGGGAGAGACGGCGAUUCGAAUCGAUUCCUAUCCAGCUGGAGGGUUAUUCCCAGCACUCACCCAAGCAUCCCCCGUCGGAGAGCCAGCGGGUCACCUUUGGUACAACUCAGGAAUCGCGGCUCCGAUCAGCGCCGUACUCCUAGGGCUACCACUCUGUCAGGGAGGUUAGGACUUUUAACUCACCUACCUUUGGACUUACACCAAUGGUCCCCCACACACCGCACUUCCUCCGGUAGUGCGCACUUUAUACUUGCCGGUGUUCCAGCCUGAGUCAUACUACUAGGCUUCGCGGUCAGAACGAGUUAUCCAGCCAACUAAGUGUCAGGCAUGCGUUCAACAUGACAAGAGGACGUACAACGAUCAGUCCUUAGCUGCCACAGACGGAGUUACUAAAACCUUGCAAAACUCCGCCCAGCUUAAGUCAUUUUAAUCAGGUUCUUUCCACAAUAGCACAUAUAGACAAUCGUGAUCCGACAUAACCCUAUCUCGCGCAGGUGACAGGAUAUCACCCGACUUCUACCGAUUAAGCAUGGCUAAGCUGCUACUCGGUCCUAACUCUACAACCAGGUGGUGGUAAGAUAUCUAUACAAGGAAUGAGUAUAAUGCAGCAAGGGUUUCAUCACAACUCCUAUAGGUAAUGCAUCAAUAGAUAUAACAUAAUCAAGUAAGCUUUUGAAAUUAAAAUGGGAGACUUAAGAUGCUCCGGGGCUUGCCUUUCACGAACGAUGCAGGCUCGUGAUUAGGGCACUUGAUCUCCUCUUCGGGCUCCUCGUGUCCGGCUUGCUGGAUCUCCACCUCCAGAUUGAUCUCCUGGCCCUCGGGGUUCACCUGGAGCUCGAACGAAGCGGUCGUUUCCGGUGCACCUAUUGCAUGCACGAUGAACAAGAAUGUGUGCAUCCUAGAUGAGGAUGAAUACUUGAUAACAUAAUUAGAACUCACUGGACACUCAUUUAUGGAGUAACUGUCAUAACAAGUUCACACAAGAUGAUUACUACUUAGCGAGAUUACCAAGUUAAACUACAAACAACAAUGACCAACAUAACAGUGCAGCUCAAGGAAUAAAUCAUAACUGGAGCUAUACAGAUCCAACAAACAUGAAUGAGGACAUUCUGGAAAGCUUAUGAAAUUUUCUACAUUUCAUCUUUAAACAUUACAUUAAGAUUCAUAACUUAAACAAGUCACUUAAAUAAAGUUCCAGGUUCUGUCCCAGAAAAAAACAGAGAACACCUAUUUCUGGAACCCAACUUGGAAAAGCCAUAACUUCAACACUACUGGACCAAAUGAUCCCAAAAUUAAACCACAGCUAGUUCAUAAAGUUUACAACAACUUUGAUUUAGACAAGUCUUCCAGGAAACCAAGUUAUCAUUAAGCAAUGGUUGGAUUACUCCCUUGCUGUCCAGAACAGCUUUGAACCCUUUGAUUAAUUGUUUAAUGACAUAGACAAAACAUAAUUAGUGUCAACCACAUGGCUUAUAAGCACAAGCAUACUAUAAGAUUACCAGAACAUCCCAUGUUAACCACUAAACAUAUAAUAACAUGGCAUUUAUUAAAUUAAUUUCAUAAAAGGACAUAAUUACAAGAUACUAGCAAAAGUGCUCAGAAAAAUCUACAAAAAUUACAGCAGGACAAGCAUAGCAUCCUGAUAUCACCAUAAAAUUUUCAGAGCAAAUGCACAUGCCAAAAUUAAGAUAAGUAUUUAACAUGUAUCAAGGUGCUUAUUUCAUAAAUUAAGAAAGAUGGCUUAGAUAGUGUCAAACAACAGAUUUCAGAUUAUUUAAAUGUGACUAUUACCAUAAACAAGUUUGACACCAGAGUAGAGCACCAGCAUAAGUAUAAAUCAUUUACUAUGAUUUAAAUAAGAAAACAAGCCAUAUCACAAACAUAAAUUACAUAUCACAGAUACAGUACUCUAAAAAUCAUGAAAUAUUUAUCAUAGCAUUCUAAUGUCACUCAGAGACUACCAUAAAAUGGUCAUAACAAAAGGAGCAGUAUAUCAACAGAUAUGAAUUUACACAUGAAUAACAAGAUUAAAUCCUAAUAAUUAUUUAUCCCAGAAAACAUGGUACAUUUUAUAUUUUUACUAAAAACUAGCCAUCUCAAGGAACAUCACAAAAUUUGUUUCACAAUUUUUCGAUCUCAGAAACUGGAGAUAUGAUUUUUGCAAGAAUGCCAAAAAUCUGGAUUUGAAUAAAAGAGAGGAGAGGACCGUUGAGUCACUGACAGCGGGUCCCGCGCGUCAGCGACCCAGAGAACAGGGGACACCUUCGCCGGCGAAUGCUCGCCAAUGGUGAGCUUCUCCGACGGAUCCAAGGGCACCAACGUGCUCCUGGAGUGAUUCCGCAUCGAUGGAGGUAGGUAACACUAGGGUUACAGCGACGGAGAGGGGUCGCCAUCGGCCAUGGCAGCACGGCGGAGCUACCCCGGCUUACGCCGGCCAUCUCCGACCGGUAGAGCAUCGAAGAAGAGUGGCCUAAGCACGAGUGAGACAGCGCGGAGCUUUCUAGGUAGAAAUGCCUAACCCUAAUGGCUCCGGUGAGUAUGCUCACGUGCGAGGUAUCGUCGGCGUUUAGCACGACGGCGCGGCGACCGUGUUCCCGCACGACGGUGGCUCCAAGGCCGGAAUGGCGUGGCAUGAACCACCACCGAGACCUAAGCAAACCCUAACGUGACUCAGAGGGAAGAAAGGAGGCAAGAACGGAGCAGCGGUGAGGUUCGCCGGAAUCGGGGUCGCGACGGCCGUGAACCCGACGACGGCGAUUCGCAAAAUGCGGCUCACCUCGGGGAGAUCUCAUCCAACCAAGGGGUGGAGAAGAUGGAGGAGCUCGAGGCGGACUUGGAGACGCUCGGAGGCGAGGCGAGACGCAGAGGCGAGGGCGCGAGGAGCUCACGAAGCUCUCGGCGGCAAUGGCGAUGGUGCUUUCGCCGACUGAGUCGCGAGAGAGAGAAAGGAAGAGAGUGGACGAGCGCUGGGUGAGUGCGGGGCGUCGUGGCGUCCAUGAUGACGUCGUCGACCACACGAGCGGGGCCAACGCCGGCGUACGGGCGCCAAAUGGCAGCAAGGUGUCGCGCUGGGUGACCACGACGGCGAGCUCGGCUUCGAUUCAGACCAAACGAUGACCGACUGACAGUGCUACUUUGACAGAGAUUAUCUCCCAAACCAAGGUGAAUUAGGAGAUGGUGUAGUUGACAAAGUUGAAGUACUAGCUGAGUUCUACAACAUUAUCAACUAGAGCAAGAGCCAGAUCGGCCUGGAUUGAGAGAUAUGAAGCUCCCAAAAUCGAUCAAGCAAACUGGUGGCGCCAGGACUUAGCCAAAUUUGGUUAAGUGCCAAAACAGCCCCCAAAACUUCAUUGAAAGCACUUUUUGAUCAAGAUGUGAUCAUUUUCAUGAGAUGGCCAUAAAACAACUUUUUGUUCCUUAUAAAAUUUGCUACAACUUUGCUGUAGAAAGUUUUGACAUGCAAACACUUUAUGAAACUCUUUUUAAAAGCUUAAGCAAAAGAGGUUUCUAGGGCCUAUACAUGGAUGUAUGACUUAAGCACUUAAUUUGGAGAAGUGAUCAACAUAAACAUUAUUCCUAAGGUUGAGUUAAGCAUAGAUAAACUAAUUACCAAGGCAUAGCACAUAAGCAUGGGCAUGUCACAAACCAACACAAGCAUAGGAAACAUAAUUAAGCAAGUUAAAUCACAUUUUUGCAUAAAAUGACAUGACUCAAGGUAGAUGAUGAUCAUGAUAUGCUUAAGUAGAUGAUGAUGCUUGUUGACGGUCCUCAAUGCACAUAUUUAACCAUCAAUUAAUCAUAGAAAAGGAUCCAAAUGCAACCAACACCUAGACUUAGGGUUUUAUCUGAUAGAAUUCCACGAGUUUGGUGUUUGUCUAUUUCUGCAGGGGGUUAUCAGGAAAUAUGGAGGAAAGGCCCACACGUCGGGUUUACAUAGAGAUAUUAACGUGCCGCGCAAUUUUCUAUCAUCUAGAAGACUCCAGAAGCCAUGGGACCGAAGCGGAAGCCGAGAGGCCUCAGGGACAGGGCGCCCGCCCUAGUCCUGAGGGCGCCCGCCCUCCCCCCUGGACCAAUCAGGGUGAAGUUCGGGGAUCAUGCUCCACCGACCUAAUACUUCAAGGAAAACCACACGAUCAAUGUCGGUUUGAUCCGACGGCCCAGAUUCACUUGAAGGGACUAUAAAACCAGACCCCCCUGGCCCCUGGAGAUCAUACCUCUUCUACAGAAUCAAAGCUAGGGUUUCAAUUCUUCAUCCAAGUAGAGAGGAUCCCUCUAGUUCUUCUAGUUCUACCUCUAGUUCAUCUAGAUCUAGUUCUAGUUCAUCUAGUUCUAGUUCUAGUUCUAGUUCUUCUAGUUCUAGUUCUAGUUAGUUCUAGUUGUAAUCUAGAAAAUAGGGAGAGAGAAGAGGAGAGCGGAGGAGGAGCCGGAUCUGUCGGAUCUUCCUCAACAUUAUACUUUUGCAGCAACUGGUUCGUUCUUCAUCGUUCUCCAGGUUCUUCAAUUCAUAAUUCCUGAGUUCUCUAAUUACUUUUAUUUACAUUCAAGUUAUUUAUUGGAUUCCCGCUUGCAUCAAGUGCUCUAGUCUUUAUAACGCUAGAGUAGUAAUUAAUAGAUUAGACGUGGUGUUUAGUCUUCCGAUUACCUGGAAUUGCACCCAAUCCCACGGAUUGUUGUGGUAGCCCUAGGGUAGUGACAGCCCUAACGGUCGACGUAUUCCACCACGUUCGGAUUGGUGUUUGUAGGACCGUAGUCAGACCUUCCUAGCCCCCUUCUCAUCUCUUUCUGUGGUUAGUGCUCUGAUGUCCCGAUAUAGAUAAUCUUGAAGUAAUUCUUGAUUCUUAGAUCAACUAGAGAACUCUCAGGAAACUUCCUCUCUUCCCAUCAAAAAUAAUUAUAUAGUUAUCCUUGGGCGAUCUUGGAUCUUAAUUAGUACACUCACGUUCUCUGUGGAAAAUCGAUACUCUGGAAUACUCCCGGGUGAGGGCUACAUCGGUAUCCGUGCGCUUGCGGAUUUUUCUGUUUGCGUUUAAAAUACCCAACAAGCUUUCUGGCGCCGUUGCCGGGGAACGGUAGUUGUGCUAGUUUCGAACCAAGUCGUCCGUGUAUCCUUUUUCUUUUCCUUUUUUACCACACUCACCUUAUCAUUUUCACAAUACCACAUGGAUUUCACUCUAAGCAUUAAUGAGCAUGGAAUUUAUUUCAUAGCCACUUCAUUUACUCCAUGCUCAUAUGCAACAUCUUCACAAUCCAUUGGUCUCUCCAACAUCACCACAUUCGAGAUCUCCAACCCUCUCAUCCUUUCUAUUUAUAAAAACUUUAAAAGGGUGGUUGUCGAUGCAUAUGUCUAUAAUAAAUUUUGCAGAUCUCGUUGAGUUGAUCUUGAUAUAGGUUGGUGUUGGAGGGGAAACCACUUUGCCGACAUAAAUUGAUGGUUUCCCAAGGACAAGCUUAGUGUCCUAAAAUAAGCACUGAUCAGAUUGUAACAUGAGCUUUUAAUUAUUUGCAGCAUUACCUUGUGUGUUGAGCAUAUAAGGAUAAUUGUAAAAAUAUUCCUUCGGGUAUUCUUGUCACUAACUUUCUAGGAUUGGAGCAAGAAGAUCGGAUGAAUGACAAGCACAAGGUAUGUCCAACCAAUCAUCAUACAACAUUGAAUUAAAUUCAUCCAAACUUGAAUUUUGCAAAAUUCAAGCUUGGGGGAGUACUUUACAUAAAAACAUCCUUUGCCAUGUUGCUAUGUUGGUUGUCCCUACCUUUGAGACAUGCUCAAUUUGUUAAAUACUAAUCACACUACUUCAUCUCCACUUGAGUAGAUCUCUAUAAAUGCUCUCAUGCUACCUUUAUUUGCUUUAGUAUAUGUCUAGGUUUGGAGUACUUUCAUUUAUCUCUUAAUUAAGCAUGGUGCUUAGUUUAGGAAUCAUGAUCUUACUUCCAAAGGAUUUUAAAUUAAGCAUGAUGCUUAGGUUAAAAUGCCCUCCUAAAUCAAAUUAGACAUGGUGUCUAGGUUGAUCUUUGAGCCGAUAGUAUGCUAUAGUAGAUAUUGGAUAUUUUGUUGGACUAACCCCUGCAGGAAAACUUUCAAUAUCGACCUGGGAAAUCCUGAGAUAAACUCACAUUGGAGACGAAGAGAGAGACACAUGAUGGUUAACAAUUUACACAAGGAAGGCAUAGCUCACAAGAGAUGAUCCAUGGAGGGUGCCACAAACACGAUGCACAACCGCUAAGAGAGGAAAGCUUCCACAAGGAGAUACCGUACCAUCACUCUUCAAGUAAGGUAACAUCUUAAGGUACUUGACUAUGACUUUUAUAAGCUUCUCCUUGGUUCUAGCAUUCACAUGAAUAAAAGAGACAAACAUGUAUGAUUUACAACUCUAGAUUAACCAACCCAAUCGAUUCAACAUGUUUAGUCCUUCCACCUUUGUGAUCCCACACUCCUAAUCAUAUAAGCUAAAAUGUUGCACACUCAAUCUUUGGAAGAUAUAUAUAAAAAACAUAAGUAUAGAUAGAUUAUCUUUCCAUAAGGUUGAGCAAUCUAAUCUGACAAAUGUUAAAUACUACACUCAUGAUUUUAUUAUCCAUCAACUUUGUCUUGCUCACUAUGCUUGAGGUUAGAGAAGAACAAAUACACUUUUGGUUCUAUUGGUGUUUUCCACCAACAGGGCCCAUGCACUUGAUCUCUGCAUUGUCUCUAUGAGUAGGUACACUUCGAGCAAAAUAUGAAGGAGUUUUACAACUCCCAGACUCAACCAAGUGAAGAACCUAGAUCUACGAGCACAAACACACUGGUGAGACUGGACACUCAGGCAAUCACUGUCCUGGGAUGCUUGAGGACGUAACUACUGGAGCAACCCCGUCUUGGAAGUAAUCACUGACCUUCUGCCGGUCAAGUGAUACAAUCCAGGACGUCCCUUCAUCCCGAUCUCCAUCGGCAUGGUGGACUUCCUAGAAGCACUCUGCAACUUUGGCUCCAGCGUCAACAUUAUGCUCCGGGUACUCUAUGAAAAAUUCUUUACACAUCCUUUCCUAGAAACAACCAUGUGUUUGCAGCUUGCAGAUCAGACACUAAGUUUCCCAAAGGGAAUAUUGAAGAACCUCUACGUCCGAGUUGGUACCUUGGACGACCCAGCAGACUUCAUGGUGAUAGAGACUGGUAGUGAUGAGAGGGCACCCAUCAUCCUAGGGAGGCCAUUCCUGAACACCUCGGGAGCUAUCAUCUACGCUAGUGCUGCCAAGAUCAGUUUCUACAUCAAGGGAAGGAAGGAGGCGUUUUCCUUCAAGAACAAGACUACACAAAUCCCAGAGCAAUCCUGACAUGAACCAAGGAAAGGACCAACAGGAGGAACAGGAACAAGCAAAUGUGGACCGAGUCAGCUAAGGUAGUCAAUGCUGUUCAAGGUGGUCAAGAUCGUCGACUUAAGUCACCGUCCCUGACCAAAAAGGACGACAUAGUCACCUAUCAGCUCCUGUUCAAAACCAUGCCCCUAAAAACAACAUACAUUCAGCUCCAGAUGAUUUAAAGGUUAUUGACAUGGGAGAAGACAAGUAUGAUCCAUCCAUCAUCCUUAGGAGACCGUUCCUCACCACCGUUAAAGCAAUCAUCUACAUUGGAACUGGAGAAGUCCACAUGCACUUCCCCUCUGAGAAGGUACGCUGCUAUUUUACUGACCCUAACUAUAUAGUUGAAGACUCUAAGCAGGUCAGGGCAAGAAGAAGAUGACGCAACCGCAACCAAAGGAGGCAAAUCAUCAAGGACGGAUGGGCAGACUAUGAAGGAGAAGUCGUAAGGUCUGAAGACAUACAGCUUGAACAGAACUGUCCUAAGGAGACCGUAGCACCGAGUCAGGUGUGGAGAGAGAAGAUAGUUAUACAUGAAGACCAAGCGCUGCCGGAACCACCGACUACGCCAUCCAGCGAAUUCCACGACAACUAAGAAAACGGAGAGUCCCGUUCGGAGGACUUAAAAGCACCAAACGCCUUGCCAAGAGGUAAACUUGGUAGUUAUCUUUUUCCUUUCAAAUUAUUUAAAAUAGUUUGCUUAGUUAAUCAGGUUCACAUCAUCUUAAAAAGAAAAUAAAAAUGUUAAAAAUAGUAAGCCCCAUGUGAGUAUGCUCAUGGCAUAAAACCCAUAAGUACAUUCACUGUGGUGGCGUAAAAAUAAAUAUAUCUUCCUGUCCUAUAAAAAUGAAAAUAUAAAUAAGAUUAUGAUCCUACUAAAGAGAGUAACAUUUAUUGAGGAGGCUCAACAUGAUAAAGGCUAGAUAUUUAUGCUAACACUUAACUAGUUCCACAAAGCUUUGUUGUCUAUUUGAGCUCCACAGAAUUUAAGGAUCAAAGAAGACUAGCAGACGGAGGACAUCCUAAUCGCUAUCAGGGUGCUACCGACAUUCAAAUACACCUCCGCCACCUGCUAGCUACAUCAGAAGAAAUUACAUCAAAAUCCAGCUUGGGGGAGAGCACCCCCAUUUAUCCAGCUAAGUAUUCUACUCACGUUUAUACUUUACUCUAUUAAUAAAAAGAUGCAUAAUCAUAAAAACCCAAAUAAAGAUUUUGUGCUUAUAUAUAUAUCUUUGCUUAGCUUGCUAAAUAAAUAAAUAAAUAAAGUUUGCUAUGAACCCUCAUGAUAAGCUCUCACAUGGAAAUGAUGAAUAGUUGCUCUGCCAUGAUUAGUUAUCAAAAUUGAAAUCUCUCUCAAGUUUAGGCAUAACUGUUAUUAAUUAAGAUUUGCUCUAAACCUGAACUUGUGGAGAGAGUACUUGAUCUAAAGUCUAAGUCGUUAACGGAUAUGAUAUGGGAAGGUUGAGCUGCUGUUUAUCUGUUCCUAGAGAUGCUAGAAUUCUGGAGAAUUUUAUCUUUGAAAAUCUUUAAAAUGUUGCAUGAUGAGUUCCUGUAUGAUGAGAGUUUAAAUUCCUACCACAGCCAUAUAUACAUGCUUGCUAGACUAUGAACCACACAUUUACUUUACUACUUAUGAGCAUUGAGUGUGGUCAAGCUGUGUAGACCCUUAGGAGCUUGUCAUGUGGUUAAAAUCAAGAUUCACUUGCACGUUCACUCAUACAUGCUGCUUCUACUCCGGAAGUACGCAUCCACAUAUAUCCAUCCAUUUCCAUCUCGAGAACCACCCAAAAAUAUUCUACUCCUAAUCCGGGAGAGAAUAGCCAAAAAUAUUUCUAUUUUUCCCCUAUGAAAUAAAUGCUCAAGUUAUCUUGUUACUACCACUUGCGAUAUUAUCUCAUGAGAUGAGUGCUCUAAUAAAAAAAAGAAAAAAAAAAGAGAUACGAGGAAAUAAAAAGGGGCAAGUGCCCGAAACCUCGAAAAAAAAAGUGAGACGAGAGGUAAAAAUAGACAAGUGUCCGAUAGUAGAAUUAGGGGUACAAGAUACCCACCUGAGAGAAAAGAAAAAAAAGAAAAAAAAAGAAAAUAUAGAGCAUCUCAUUCUCCUCAAAAAGUUUCAAAAGAGCAAGAAAGGUAUGUAUCCCCUCAAAAGAGCACAAGUAGAAUUAGACUUUCACCAUUGUUUUCACCAUUGUUAUCACCAUCAUUACCAUACACCAUUCAUUCGCCACACAUUCACAUCUUGAUUUGACUUAUUGACUUGUUCUUCUGGAUCCAUAGUUUGACUAUGCAAUAAAUGUCUUGUAAGUAUGUAUUAGCUGUCUCCCACCUAUGAGCUCCAGAUAUCAAAAGCCUUAUUAGAGUAGGGUGAGAGAGAAGGCAAUGUCACUAUGCCUUAUACUACAAAUACCACAUACUUUGAGAGAAGGCAUAUACCAUUACUGCCUUGGUAAGGAUCCAGAAAUACCUCAAAAGAGAGACUAGAGAGAGUCAUACAAGGAAUCUCUGAGUUUUAUUUGAAAAUCUGCAAAAACUCCAGAACUAUAGCUGAUCAAGAAUAAGAGACAUGGUGCUUGACUAGACCGUUCUAUCUUUUAACUACUCAAGACAGAAGUGUCGGUUACAAGUCCCAUGGUGAAAGGUAAAUGAGUAAGUUUUAAGUCUUAACAGUUCACUCUAACCAGAGAUGAGAUCUUGUUUAAACGCAUGUGUAUCCUUAAGUUAUGAAACCACUGCAGAAACUCUUGAGUUAAUCUUUACUCAGGGACGAGCAAAGGUUAAGCUUGGGGGAGCUUGUUGACGGUCCUCAAUGCACAUAUUUAACCAUCAAUUAAUCAUAGAAAAGUAUCCAAAUGCAACCAACACCUAGACUUAGGGUUUUAUCUGAUAGAAUUCCACGAGUUUGGUGUUUGUCUAUUUCUGCAGGGGGUUAUCAGGAAAUAUGGAGGAAAGGCCCACACGUCGGGUUUACAUAGAGAUAUUAACGUGCCGAGCAAUUUUCUAUCAUCUAGAAGACUCCAGAAGCCACGGGACCGAAGCGGAAGCCGAGAGGCCUUAGGGACAGGGCGCCCGCCCUAGUCUUGAGGGCGCCCGCCCUCCCCCCUGGACCAAUCAGGGUGAAGUUCGGGGAUCAUGCUCCACCGACCUAAUACUUCAAGGAAAACCACACGAUCAAUGUCGGUUUGAUCCGACGGCCCAGAUUCACUUGAAGGGACUAUAAAACUAGACCCCCCUGGCCCCUGGAGAUCAUACCUCUUCUACAGAAUCAAAGCUAGGGUUUCAAUUCUUCAUCCAAGUAGAGAGGAUCCCUCUAGUUCUUCUAGUUCUACCUCUAGUUCAUCUAGAUCUAGUUCUAGUUCAUCUAGUUCUAGUUCUAGUUCUUCUAGUUCUAGUUCUAGUUAGUUUUAGUUGUAAUCUAGAAAAUAGGGAGAGAGAAGAGGAGAGCGGAGGAGGAGCCGGAUCUGUCGGAUCUUCCUCAACAUUAUACUUUUGCAGCAACUGGUUCGUUCUUCAUCGUUAUCCAGGUUCUUCAAUUCAUAAUUCCUGAGUUCUCUAAUUACUUUUAUUUACAUUCAAGUUAUUUAUUGGAUUCCCGCUUGCAUCAAGUGCUCUAGUCUUUAUAACGCUAGAGUAGUAAUUAAUAGAUUAGACGUGGUGUUUAGUCUUGCGAUUACCUGGAAUUGCACCCAAUCCCACGGAUUGUUGUGGUAGCCCUAGGGUAGUGACAGCCCUAACGGUCGACGUAUUCCACCACGUUCGGAUUGGUGUUUGUAGGACCGUAGUCAGACCUUCCUAGCCCCCUUCUCAUCUCUUUCUGUGGUUAGUGCUCUGAUGUCCCGAUAUAGAUAAUCUUGAAGUAAUUCUUGAUUCUUAGAUCAACUAGAGAACUCUCAGGAAACUUCCUCUCUUCCCAUCAAAAAUAAUUAUAUAGUUAUCCUUGGGCGAUCUUGGAUCUUAAUUAGUACACUCACGUUCUCUGUGCAAAAUCGAUACUCUGGAAUACUCCCGGGUGAAGGCUACAUCGGUAUCCGUGCGCUUGCGGAUUUUUCUGUUUGCGUUUAAAAUACCCAACAAUGCUUAUGUUAUGCAUGUGAUUAAUGCAACCAUAACACUGGGGUGUUACAUUUGGCGUAUCGACAAAACAAUUUUUGGGUUUCAUGGUGCAUCAGAGGGGGAUUGAGAUUAGGAGGAGAUCUGUUGAUGCAAUCAACAAAGUAGUUGCUCCUACCGAUAAAACUGAGCUUCAGUCCUUGAUCGGCAAGAUUAAUUUUAUCAGACGAUUUAUAUCCAAAUUGUCGAGUAAGAUUCGAGCUUUCAGCCAUUUGCUUAAAUUGAAAGCCAAUCAAGAAUUUGUAUGGGGAAAAGAGCAACAAUUGGCUUUGGAUGAAAUUAAGAAUUAUUUGGCAAAUCCUCCAGUAUUGGUUCCACCUCAGCAUGGAAAGCCUUUUAGGUUAUAUUUGUCGACCGAUGAUGCGGUUAUCGGUUCAGCUCUCAUUCAAGAAUUUGAAGGAAAAGAAUGUGUAAUUUAUUACUUAAAUAGGAGAUUGGUAGAUGCGGAGACAAGGUAUUCGGCUAUUGAAAAAUUAUGCUUGUGCCUGUCUUUUCUUGUAUUAAGUUGAGACAUUAUUUGCUAUCGGCCGAAUGUACUGUCAGAUGCAAUGAUGACAUGGUCAGAUACAUGUUGUUGAUGCCGAUUAUGAGUGGUAGAAUCAGCAAAUGUAUACUAGCAUUAUCAGAAUUUGACUUACGUUAUGAAUCGGCUAAGGCAGUUAAGGGACAGAUCGUGGCCAAUUUUGUUACUCAGCAUUGUGGUUUGGUGGGUGCUUUGGAGAUUGCUCAUUGGACACUCUUCUUUGAUGGAUCUACAUGUGAUCAAGGGGCAGGUAUCGGCAUAGUAUUGAUUUCUCCCUGGGGAAAGAAAUUUGAAUUUUCUUUGCCGAUUGUUGCUACAUCAACGAACAAUCAGGCUGAGUACCAAGUCCUAAUCAAAGGAUUAGAGUUAUUAAAGGAAGAUCAUGCCGAUGCUGUCAAAAUCUUUGGAGAUUCUAUGCUUGUCAUAAAUCAAUUGGCUGGGAUUUACGAGUGCCGAAGUGAGAUUUUGAUAGCAUAUUACGAAAGGUGUUUACAAUUGUUAAAGGAAUUCAAGGAUUUCCGCUUGGAGCAUAUUCCUCGAUUACAUAAUGAAGAAGCUAAUCGGUUAGCUCAACACGCCUCAGGAUAUCAACCUAUCUUGGAAGUGCUAUCGGUAAUCAGUAUCGAUGACUGGAGAAAAGAAAUUAUUGAUUAUCUAAAAGAUCCAUCUAGGAAAGUUGAAAGACGUGUUAGAUUUCAAGCUACUAAAUAUGUACUCCUUGAGGAUGAAUUAUAUUAUCCAACAAUAGAUGGAGUGUUGCUUAGAUGUUUAAGUAAUGAUGAAUCCAAAAACUUGAUGGGUGAAAUUCAUGAGGGGGUAUGUGGAGCACAUCAAUCGGCUUUUAAAAUGAAGUGGAUGAUUAGAAGGAAUGAAUAUUAUUGGCCGACUAUCCUUGAGGAUUGUUUCAAAUAUUUCAAAGGGUGUCAAGGAUGUCAGAAGUUUGGUAAUAUUCAAAGGGCACCUGCGUCAGCUAAGAAUCCUAUUAUUAAACCUUGGUCAUUCUGGGGUUGGGCUAUUGAUCUCAUCGGUCAAAUUUAUCAACCAUCGAGUAAAGGGCAUAAGUUUAUCCUUGUUGCCACUAAUUAUUUCACUAAGUGGGUUGAGGCUAUCCCUUUUAGGAAAGUAACAUCGACCAAUAUGAUUGAUUUUGUGAAGGAACAUAUUGUUUACCGAUUUGGCAUUCCUCAAACAAUCACUACCGAUCAAGGUACUAUGUUUACAUCAGGAGAGUUUGAUGAAUUUGCAAUCGGUAUGGGGAUUAAGGUGAUGAAUUCUUCUCCUUACUAUGCUCAAGCCAAUGGAUAGGCCGAAGCUUCCAACAAAGGGAUUAUUAAGCUUAUUAAACAGAAGAUUGAGGAAAAUCCUAGGCGAUGGCAUACUCUGUUAAAUAAAGCCUUAUGGUCAUGUUGGAUGGCGUGUCACGGUGCAACCAAAGUGUCACCUUAUCAAUUGGUAUAUGGACAUGAUGCAGUACUACCUUGGGAAAUUAAAACUAGUUCUAGGUGGAUAUUUUCUCAGGAUCAAUUAACUACUGCUGACUAUACCACUCUGAUGAAAAAUGAGUUGGAAGAUUUAGCAGGACAUCGGUUAAGAGCUUUAAUUAGCAUAGAAGAAAAUAAAAAAGAGAGUGGCUAAGUAGUAUGAUAAAAAGGUAAAAUCCAAGGAGUUUGCUGAUGGGGAUUUGGUCUGGAAGUUAAUUCUACCAAUUGGGACUAAAAGUUCAAAAUUUGGAAAAUGGUCUCCUAAUUUGGAAGGUCCUUAUCGGAUAAGUCGAUCUGCCCCAGGCAACGCUUAUAUUUUAGAAAGUCUCAAAGGAGUUGAAUUCCCCAGGGCAUUAAACGGAAAAUAUUUAAAAAGAUACUACCCCAGUAUCUAGGUUGAUGCAUAAAAGUUUAAGUGCCGAUACCAGUCCUAUCGGCUGAACAAAAUGACAAUGUAUCUGGAUCAACGCAUUGGAAGUUUUGGUGCCAAUAACAAUCCUAUCGGCUGGAUCAAAUGCUGAUGUUUUCAAAAGAACUGAUAAGCCAUACUGCCAAUGAAGAGAUUUACAAGUUUAACAAAGUUUGGAUAGCCGAUAUCGCACGCAGGCUAAUUUGAUUAGCUUCCUCUAUCUCUUUGGUAUCUUCAUCGGCUGAGCCUUCCACUGGUUUCAAUCUCUUCUUUAUUUGCAAUGCCUUGCGGGCUUGGGCAUCCCUCUCCUGCUGAAGAUCUCUGAGUACGUCGGGUAGUUGACUUUCCUCCUAUUGAGCUUGGGCCAAAGCUUCUUCUACUUGUUUGAGUUCAGCAAGCAGAGCCUCUCUCUUUGCCGAUAAAUCAGAGAUUUUCUAUUUUAGUUCAACACCUAAGGAUUGCAAAAUGUCGAUGCUCUUAUGCUUCUCAUCGGCAGCACGCUUCACUUGCAAAAUCUCUUCUUUGAGUUGGGCGUGGGCGGUUCUAUCUGCAAGGCGCUGAACGGCCUUUUGAUACUAAAGUUGGCGGCUCUCCAGAUGGGUGGCUUGAAAAAGUAUCUCCACAACAUCGGCAGGAAUCUUAUCGCGAAGACCCUUAAAGAUGGUUUUGGCCAGAUCAGAGUCAUCUACUAGCAGAGUUGUAUCCUGCUGCAAUAGAGCUAGUAAAUUUUCUAGCUUGGAUUUGAUCUCUACCGGUGCAAUUCCGAGCGCCAUUGAAGAACUUGCCUCUUCACUAUCAUCAUCAUAGAUGUCGAUGGCAAAGGAGAACAGGCUAUCAGGAGAGUCUUGUUCCUAGAAGCAGAGGAAAAUAAAUUAACUAGAGUUAAGUACCGAUAAUACAAUGUCUAGUGGAUCGGGUAAGUUUACUUGUUUCAGAGCAAUUUCUUGUCUCUGACUUGGAGAUGUGGCUUGCACUAUGACUUGAUCGGUUGGGGCUGCUAGUGGAAUAUCUUCAACUGAAAUUGCCAAAGGUGAUGAUGGUAUUUAUAAAGGGUCCAUCGGUAAUAAUUUUAUGAUCGGUACUUUACCUUGAGGAGAGAUGAUGAUCGUCUGUUCAGGAGGAACGGCCGAUGAAGUACCUACGUCAACUGGAUCGGUGACCUGCUCAGAUACAUCGACCAGGUCUGCUUGCGUCUGGGGCACUGGAUGAGGUGGAGAAGAGGGUGCUGCUUGGAUCUGGGGUUGUCACACCCAUAUUUUAAGAACAAAAUAGGAUGCAUAAAAGACUCAUAUGUGCCCCAGGAAUAGUCGCACACAUAAGUAGACAAAUCUCAAAUGUACCAUCGCAGUGUUUAUUACAUAGCAGAACAUAAUAAAUCAUAUAGUCUUAUACAUAAAUGAUAGCAAGAUGUAAACAACGCUCUCGACGGAAGCUCCACAUAGGGACACUAUUGACUGGUUGACUCCAAACCUAGUACUCAUAACGGUAGUCCUCAUUCCAAUCAUCAUCAUUAGCAUAACCUGGGUGUUGGGAAAUUGCAAGAGUGAGCACAUAUCGUACUCAACAAGUAUAACCAGGGGUUCAUGAGGCUCAAAUAGCUGACGCUGGUUUGACUUUAUUUAGCUUUUAAUAGUGGAUAGCAUAUUCAUAAUUUAAAUAGCAAUUUUCAAGGUAGCAUAAAUAAUCCAUUAAUCACAUGAUCAAGUGUAAGCAUAAUUAAUCUCAUAGCAUAAAUGAUAAUCAAAUGAACAUAAUAACUUAACAAGCUCAUCGUCGUCGUAGCAAGAACCCCCAAGGCCGCUCAUAACCGUAAGCAUGGCUAGUAUACCAGUUUUAACACCCUGCAGAGGUUGUACAUCUUUACCCAUGAGUCAUGAUUUACCCUUUCGCCCGAGGUAGCUAGUCUCUUCACCCCCUUCCUAGGGAGGUCGGCAGGGAUCACUAUGAAGCCUUUCAAAAGUUUGUCUAACAUGUUAGGGCCGCAAGGUUUCCUUUGCGCGCAGAUAUAGAUACCCCCUUCCGAAUGGCACAAUGACGCGCAACCUAUACACAUAGGGAUAGGGGCUCGCACCCAAAACGGUUCAGCCCCUCCGCCCUUUCGGGUCAUGCUGAGCUAAAGCCACAGCCAUUAUAGCCCUCAUGGUUGCACUGUUGUCCCGGUGAUCACUUACAGACAAGAUCUCAUAUAGUUAUUUGUCAUCAUUUAACGUUCAUUGCAUAGCUAUUAAUCAUCUUACAAGAUCAUGGAUUAUAUCAAGCACUAGCACAUCAGCACCAAAUGCAUAUCAAGUAGGUAACAAGGAAUCCAGGUAACAAUCAUCUAUGAUUUUGCUAAGGUCGACAAUGUGAUAGCAUGCAUAUGAUAUAUAUGUGUAGUUAUAAGUGAAUAGGUAACAAGGAUGAUCCCAAGUUAUACUUGCCUUGAUCAAAGCUCUCCUGAGCCUACUGGUCUUCAAAAGCUUGGUCUUGAUCACCAAUGUACGGCUCACCGUCUAUUUCCAAACAUCAAUCAACAACAUGCAAUCCAAUGUAGACAAUCAUACACAAGGCAAACAAGCUAUAAUUAGAACAUUACACCAACUGUAAGAAAUCAAAGAUAAAAUUUUAUGAAAAUAUUCUACGCAGCGCUACGAUCACACAAACGUAAAGUUCACGAAAAUCGGAAUUAAAACGUAGAAGAUAUGAAUUUUCUAAGAUUUCCUAUAGAGAAAUAAUUAACUAAAUGCUACUGCAGAAAUAAAAAGUUUCAAAACAGUAAACUAAAACUUCUAACAUGUAGAGCUCGUAAAUAUGAAUCUAACGAAAUUUGAAUGGACAAAAACAGAGUUGAAAUGAAUAUUUUAUGAGGAAAAUAAACCCAAUGGCAAAACUGUAAAUACUGAAAAACGCCUUUUUCCUCAAACCGACUAUAAGCUUUUAGAAUCAAAACACGUAAUCUCCUCUAGGGCACCAUGGACUGCGGGUCGAUUUCCAAAUUCACCAGGGGAUCUUUAUGAAAAAGUGCAGCGAAGGGGUAUGUUCUGUUUUGGGCCCUUAGAUCUUGAUCCAACGGCUCGGGCGCGUCCAGGGGGCCAGUGGCGGCGGGCCGGCCGGAGUUGCGCCUCCCCGCGGCGGCGCCAUGGGAGUGCUCGCCGGAGUCCACCGAUUCCUUGAUUCUGAGCGCCAAUCAACGAAAGAAAAACACCGGGAGGGCGAGAAGCUCACCGCGACCUCGCUGGGACCCUUUGCUUGGUCCGAGAGGUGAUGAAAACAGCUCGCGGCGUGCGGCGGUGGACUUGGCUCUCGGCGAGAUUCAAACCGUGCAUGGGCUGGCGUCUAGGGCUUGGUUUCCGUGGCGAGCGUGGAAAACAACAUGCGGGGCGAUGCUGGGGUUUAAAUAGGGGUCGAUAUGGCAAGAAAUCUCAGAGUUUUCGGGUUGGAAAGUUAUUAGCUCGGGUCGGUUAUCCCCAACUGAGCCCUGUUCGUCCUCGGCGCGAGAAGGAAGAGGAACGGCGCCCGCCAGGUGGGGUCGCCUCGCCAGCGAGAGGGAGGUGGGGCCUGCUGGUCAGAGAGAGAAGAGGGGAAGGGAGCUGCGCUGGGCCGCGGCUGGCCUGCUCGGCUGGGCCGGGAUGGGCCGUGCGCUGGGGGACAGGGUGCUGGGCUGCGGCCUACGGCCAAGACGAGAGGGGAGAGGCGUUUGGCUGGGGUUUUCCUUUUUUUUCUUUUUUUAAUCUCUUUUCUAUAGCUUUUGAGAAGAGUUUUUAAAUCCUUUUGGAGAUAAACAGAAUACAUAGACAAAAAGCAAACAAGCGAGUAAAUAAAUAAAUUAAUUUCAGCAUGAAUGCACAACCUUGUUUCUAAACUUAUAAUGAAUUUUAAUUUUGACAAAAACAUUUUAUUUACUAGAUUAAAUGCCCACAAAAUUGCUUAAAUAAAUCAAAUUAAAUCCUAUUAUUUGAAAACCAAAUUUUGGGUGUUACAAACUCUACCACCCUUAAAAGAAUUUCGUCCUCGAGAUUGAAAGGUGCUUACUCAAACAAGUAUGAUUAUGAUUUCCUCAGGUCAUCCUCUCUUUCCCAAGUUGCCUCUGCUUCCGAUUACCAAUUCCACUGCACUUUGCACAUUCUGAUGACCUCACUUCUGGUGACUCUCUCAGUUGUCUCCAAUAUUCUGACCGGAUAUUCUUCAUAAGUGAGAUCACCUUUAACAGAAAGCUCUUCCAAUGGUAUUUGCUCCUCUGGUACACGCAAACACUUCUUAAGUUGUGACACAUGGAACACAUCAUGCACACCAGAUAAACUUUCAGGAAAUUCUAAUUGAUAUGCUACUUCUCCACGCCUUUCCAAUACUUUAAACGGACCAACAUACCUUGGAGCUAGCUUUCCCUUCAUAUUAAACCUCUUCACACUCCUCAUUGGUGAUACUUUCAGGUAUACAUAAUCACCCACCUCAAAAGCCAGCUCUCUCCUACGCGUACCUACAUAUCUUUUCUGACGAGAUUGAGCAACUCUCAAGUUAUCCCGAAUGGACCGCACUUGUUAUUCUGCAUGUCUAAGCACAUCUGUCCCAAACACCUGAGUUUCUCAUGUCUGAUUCCAAAACAAAGGUGUCCUGCACUUCCGACCAUACAGUGCCUCGAACGGUGCCAUCUUAAGACUUUGCUGAUAGUUAUUGUUGUAGGAGAAUUCUACAUAUGGCAAACUCUUGUCCCAACUAGUUCCAUACUGCAAAGCACAAGCUCUCAACAUAUCCUCCAGUAUCUGAUUGAUCCUCUCAAUCUGUCCAUCUGUCUGUGGAUGAUAUGCUGUACUAAAAUUUAACUUUGUUCCCAAGGAAUCAUGCACUGCUUUCCAAAAGUGAGAUGUGAAUUGAGUACCCCUAUCUGACACAAUCUUCUUAGGUACUCCAUGCAAACAAACAAUUCUCUGCAUAUAUAACUCUGCCAGUCGGUCUCCACUAUAUGAAGUUUUGACAGGUAUGAAAUGAGCAACUUUGGUUAAACUAUCCACUAUCACCCAUAUUGAGUCAUACCCUCCUUGUGUAUGAGGUAAACCCACUAUGAAAUCCAUGCCUACUUCUUCCCACUUCCAUUCAGGAAUCUUCAUUGGUUGCAACAGUCCAGCUAGCCUCUGAUGUUCAGCUUUCACUCGCUGACAAGUGUCACACAAAGCAACAUACUCAGCUACAUCUCUCUUUAAACCAUAGCACCAGUACUUCUGUUUCAGAUCUAGAUACAUCUUAGUGCUACCAGGGUGAAUGGAAUAUGCUGACUCAUGAGCCUCUCUCAGAAUCAUAUCAUGAAUAGCCUUCACUUCAGGAACACAUAUCCUUUUUCCAAACCACAAUACACCAUUGUCAUCUAUUCUGAAUCCUGGUGCUUUGCCUAGUACCACAUUCUGUGCUAUCUCCUUUAGUUUCUCAUCUUCCAACUGUCCUUUCAAUAUCUCUUCCUCUAGAGUAGGAGUGACCUCAAUUUCCAUCGCAUUUACUACAAUUCCCCAGAUCAAAUAUGCAAAUUCAGCACACAACUCCUCAGAUUCAGGUGUCGCCCGAAGCUCAUUAGCAUAUUUCUUCUUGCUAAGUGCAUCGGCUACGACGUUCACCUUUCCAGGAUGAUAAUGCACUUCCAAAUCAUAAUCCUUUAUCAGUUCCAACCAUCUUCGUUGCCUCAGAUUCAGAUCUGUCUGGGUGAAGAUAUACUUUAAACUCUUAUGAUCAGUAUAUAUGUCACUCUUAUGCCCAAUCAAAUAGUGUCUCCAAAUCUUCAAUGCAUGCACCAUAGCUGCUAACUCUAGAUCAUGAGUAGGAUAAUUCAGUUCAUGUUUCCUCAACUAUCUAGAUGCAUAAGCAACAACUCUACCUUCUUGCAUAAGGACACAACCCAAACCCAGACGAGAAGCAUCACAAUAGAUAGAGAAACUCUUACUCAGAUCUAGCAAUACCAACACAGGUGCAGUAGUCAAUCUCUUCUUAAACUCCUCAAAACUAGCUUGACACUUAUCAAACCAUACAAACUUAGCAUUCUUCUCCAAUAGAGCAGUCAUAGGCUUUGCAAGCUUUGAGAACCCUUCAAUGAAUCUACGAUAGUAACCAGCUAAACCUAGAAAACUAUGAAUUUCACUUACAUCUGUAGGUGGUUUCCAAUUCAGCACAUCUUUCACCUUACUAGGAUCCAUUGCAAUACCACCAUGAGAGACAACAUGACCAAGAAAAGAAACUUCUUCCAACCAAAACUCACAUUUACUACGCUUAGCAUACAGCUUAUGUUCUCUAAGUUUCUGUAAGACCAAUCUCAGAUGUUCAGCAUGUUCUUCCUUGGUUUUAGAGAAUACCAGAAUAUCAUCAAUAAAGACCACCACAAACUUAUCAACAUACUCCAUAAAUACUUUAUUCAUCAUGUAGAUAAAGUAAGCUGGUGCAUUGGUCAAACCAAAAGACAUAACUGUAUACUCAUACAACCCAUACCUUGUUGUGAAAGCUGUCUUUGGUAUAUCUGAAUUCUGAAUCUUCAAUUGAUGAUAACCAGAACGCAAAUCAAUCUUAGAGAACACACAAGUGUUGACGGUCCUUAAGUAUCAAAUUUAAUUAUCAAAUAAAUAAAGAAAAGGAUCCAAAUGAAAUCAAGAUCUAGUCUUAGGGUUUUAUCUGACAGAAUUCCACGAGUUUUGGUGUUUGUCUAUUUCUGCAGGGGGUUAUCAGGAAAUAUGGAAGAAAGGCCCACAUGUCAGGAUUACGUAAAGAUAUUAACGUGCUGCGCAAUUAUCUUACAUCUAGAAGACUCCAGAAGCCACGAGACCGAAGCGGAGGCGAAACGGGGCCUGACCCUGGGCGGCCGCCCAGUUGGUCAGGGCGCCCGCCCUGCCCCUGAGUCCAAUCAGGACUCUACUUUGCGGGAGAUCUCCACCGACCUAAAGGAUGAAUCUAAACCGUACAAUCUAUGUCGGUUUGAUCCAAGGGUCCAUAUUCACUUGGAGGGACUAUAAAACCAGACCCCCUGGCCCCUGGAGGAGGGAGCCUCUCAACCCUAAUUCAUUGUUCCAUCAAGGGAGAAGAAGCCUCUGAUCAAGAUUAGAGCCACCACAUCAAUUAGAUAUCUAGAUUAGCAUAGCUACAUAGGAUUAGAACUAGAAGGAGUCAAUCUUCGAUUGGUUUCCGGCUCUGUCAAGAGGAUUCUUGGUAAUUCUCUAAUUGUGCUUCUAAUUGCUUUCUAAUUAUCUUUGUUUUUCAAUAUUAUGAAUAUGACUUUGUUCUACUUCAAUAUAUUGCUUAUGACUUUGCUCUACUUGUUUAUAUUCAAGAUUAUAUUGUUCUUAGUUUAUCAUGGUUAUGUACUUGGCUUAGUUAGAUACGAUCUAUAUACAUGCUUAGGAUCAUAUAGCGUUUAUCAAUCGGAUCCAUGGGUAAAUGAUAGAUAUUGUGUAGGCGUGGUGCUUAUACCGUAUUUAUCUGCGAUUGUACCCAAUAUGCCAGAUCGUGGGGUGGUUCGUGAUAGUGACAGCUUCAUUGAUUCUUAUAUAGUCCCCCUCUCGUGUAUUGGGCUGGCAGAGCAACAUUAUUAUAGGGGAGUGAUUGCUAUGUUUCUCAUAUUCCUUGCUAAUAUCACUAUGCAUGGGCGUAGUCUUGUCUCACAAUGAUUGCUAAGUAUGCUUGCACUAACUAUAAUAAUGCUAGACUAUAUAGUUAAGAAUAACUUAGGGAAUAUUCUUGUAGUUCAUUCUAAUACCAUGCUAAUGACUUUCUAGAGUAUCUAAUUGAGGUGCUUAUCAUAUUUAUUAUGUGGCUAGAUCAGAUUAGUUAUCCUUGUCACUAUUAUUAUUUCAUAUAUCUUUUAUGUGACACUUAUCCCUGUAUGAAGAGUUAGAUAUAAUGUUCUCAAUUAUACAUGCAAUGAUAGAUGCUCAAUCUCAUAUUCUAUUCUGUAAUCAAUAUUGAUGAUUGCUAAUCCCUUCCCAGUGGUAAAAAUAUAAAUAACGAUACCUGGAAUACUUCCCGGUUAAAAUGCUGCAUCGGUAUUAAUCUGUGCGCUUGCAGAUCCCAUUCAUUAUUUAUUUAGAAGAGCAAUUGCAUAUUUCAAUACCGCGUCUCUCAUGUCAUGCUGGGGAUGACAACUUGGCUUAAGUGGUGUGAGGGAUAGGUUUGGCAUUUUUGGCACCGUUGCUAGAUUUAGAACUUAGUCUACUUUUAGUAAUGAUGUUAAGAAUACCCAACAAGCAUUUUUGGCGCCGUUGCCGGGGAAGGUUGAUUACUAAUCAGGAAUGGAAUAAAGGAUUUUGAGUUAUCAUUCGCAUCACUAAUAUGAUUGAGCUUAUCUAUUCUCUCAUACAGUUUUACCCCGAUAUUUUCUAUUUUUAUCUUAUGCAGGGGAAUGUAUGAAUAGAAGACAUCUUCCAGGAAAUUUUGUUGACAAUCCUGAAGCAUUAUUCAAGAAGACAAGAGCCAAGCUAAAGAAAUCAUCAACACUUCAGCAAGAAGCUUCAUCCAAUCAAGAAGAUCACCGGAACUUGUCUUCAGAGUUCGAAGCCAUGGCAAACAAAUCAAUCCGCGAGUUCUCAGCUCCCACUACGGACAACAUCCGCACUGGACCUGCUGCAGAGAUCGAUGGCAACUUUGAGCUCAAGCCUGGACUUAUCAACAUGGUGCAAUCCAACCAGUUCUGUGGGAAGGCACACGAAGAUGCUAGUGCUCAUUUACAACACUUCCUGGAGAUUUGCAACACAUUCACCAUACAAGGAGUUUCCAAAGAUGCUAUACUACUUCGCCUCUUCCCAUUCUCACUGUUAGGAAGAGCGAAGCAGUGGUUCUACGCUACAAAGGAGAAGAAUACUACCUGGGCACUCUGCUCAACAAACUUCCUGGCUAAGUUCUUUCCCAUGGGCAAGACCAAUGCUCUCCGUGGGAAGAUUACAAGUUUUCAGCAACAAAAUGAUGAAUCUGUUCCAGAAGCAUGGGAGCGCUUUCAAGACUACAUCCUAGAAUGUCCCCAUCAUGGAAUGGAGAGUUGGCUAUUGAUGCAGACGUUUUAUCAUGGGCUCGGCAACAGUGCCCGAGAAACCAUGGAUGCUGCAGCUGGAGGAGCAUUCUUAUCACUUACUAUACCACAAGCCACAGCUCUUGUGGAGAAGAUGGCGUCCAAUCAAAGCUGGAAUGAAGAGAGGAGCCAGACACGCAAGAGAGGUGGAGGUAUGCAUCAGCUGUAGGAGGUAGACAUGCUGUCUGCAAAGCUAGACCUGCUCAUGAAGAAGCUCGAUGAUAGAGCUGGAGACAAGAAAGAAGUUAUGCACAUCUACGACUCUCACAUGACUUGUGAGGAGUGUGGAGACACUAGACACUCAGGCAAUCACUGCCCUGAGAUACUUGAGGAUGUGAACUACAUCAACAACAACAACAACAACUACUACUACAACCGUCCUCAACAAAAUCAAGGUUGGAAUCAACAGAGGCCUAACUACUCAGGUAAUUAUCAAGGUAACAAUUCUUACAACAAUAACAAUAAUUUUCCACCUUUGAGAGAGUUAGUAUCUAAUCAAGGAAAGCUAAUGGAUAACCUAUCUAAGAAAUUGGCAUCUAAUGAUAAAAUGCUAGAAAAUAUAAAUAAUAGAAUGGAUAAUUUCUCUACUGCCAUCAAGAAUCAAAUUAGCUUUAAUAAAAUGAUUGAAUCUCAGUUAAAUCAAAUAGCUGCUGCUGUUCCAACUACUAACCCCGGUACACCAUCACAACCGGGAGGAUUAGAAUCUGCAAAUCUUGUAGACAUGUUUGAUGCAGGUAAUUGGAGUAACCCCGUCAAUGAAUUUUCUACUGACCUUCUGCCGGUCAAGAGAGGCGAUCCAGGACGCCCCGUCAUCCCGAUCUCCAUCGGCAUGGUGGACUUCCCAGAAGCACUCUGUGACUUUGGCUCCAGUGUCAACAUUAUACCUAGGGUACUCUAUGAAAAAUUCUUUACAUAUCCUUUACUAGAGACAACCAUGUGUUUGCAGUUUGCAGAUCAAACGAUAACUUUCCCAAAAGGAAUAGUGAGGAAUCUUUGUAUCCAAGUUGGUACCUUGUAUGCCCCAGCAGACUUCGUAGUGGUAGAGACCGGAAAUGAUGAGAGAGCACCUAUCAUCUUAGGGAGGCCAUUCUUGAAUACCACGGGAGCUAUCAUCUACGCCAGUGCUGCCAAGAUCAGUUUCUACGUCAAAGGGAAGAAGGAGACAUUUUUCUUCAAGAACAAGACUACACAAAUUCCAGAUCAAUCCAGACGUAAAUCAAGGAAGAGGACCAACAGGAGAAACAGGAACAAGCAAGUGUGGACCGAGUCAGCUAAGAUGGUCACUGUAGUUCAUGGAGGCCAAGAUCAUCAACUUAAGUCACCGUGUUUGACCAAGAAGGAUGACCCAGGAAUGCCCAGCAUUUACUGCUCCAUAAAUGGAUACAACUUCUACAAGACAUUUUGUGACACCGGAUCGGGCGUCAACAUAAUGGCCGCAGUCACCUAUCGGCUUUUGUUCGGAACCAUGCCUCUAAGACCAACAUACAUUCAGCUCCAGAUGGCAGAUCAGACAUUUCGAGAAGUUAAAGGAACAGUAACUGAUGUCCUAGUCAAAAUAGACGAUCACUUUGUCUACACAGACUUUCAAGUUGUUGACAUGGGAGAAGAUGAAUAUGAUCCACCCAUCAUCCUUGGAAGACCGUUCCUCAGCACCGUUAAAGCAAUUAUCUACAUUGGAACCGGAGAAGUCCAUAUGCACUUUCCGUCAGAGAAGGUACGUCGUUACUUUACUGACCCUAACUAUAUCGUUGAAGAAUCUAAGCAGGUAAGGAAAAGAUGCAACCGCAACCAGAGGAGGCAGAUCAUCAAGGACGGAUGGGCAGACUACGAAGGGGAAGUUAUAAGGUCAGAAGACGUAGAAUUUAAAUAGAAUUAUCCAGAGGAGAUUGAAGCACCAAGUCAGGUAUGGAAAAUGAAGAUAACUAUACAAGAAGAGGAGGCGCUGCCGGAAGUACCGACUACGCCACCCAACGAACCUCAGGACGAUUAAGAAAUUGGAGAGUCCCGUUCGGAGGACUUAAAAACACCGAACGCUUUGCCAAGAGUUCCACAAGCUUUGUUGUCUAUUUGAGCUCCACAGAAAUUUAAGAAUCAAGAAGACUGGCAGACGGAGGACAUUCUAAUCGCUGUCAGAAUGCUGCUGACUUUCAAAUACACCUCUACCACCUGCUAGCUACACCAAGAGAAAUUACGUCAAAAUUCAGCUUGGGGGAGAGCACCCCCAUUUAUCACGAUAAGUAUUUCUAUCUAUCUUUAUACUUAUAUUAUUUUAGAAUAUUAAAAUACACAUAAACUAUGGGAAAACCAAAUAAAGAUUUUAUGCUUAUAUAUAUAUCUUUUGCUUAGUGUGUUUAAUAAAUAAAUAAAGUGGCUAUGCUAAUCUGUAUCUAAAUAAAACUUAAGCAUGGAUAUGAUAAAUAGUUGCUCUGCCUAAUUUGCAAAUUUUAAGUUCUCUCUCAAGUUUAGAUAUAACUGUUAUAAUUUAAAGCUUGCUCUAGACCUAAACUUGUGGGAUGAAAACUUGAUCUGAAGUCUAAGUUGUUAACGGAUAUGAUAUGGGAAGGUUGAGCUGCUGUUUAUCUGUUCCUAGAGAUGCUAGAAUUCUGGAGAAUUUUAUCUUUGAAAAUCUUUAAAAUGUUGCAUGAUGAGUUCCUGUAUGAUGAGAGUUUAAAUUCCUACCACAGCCAUAUAUACAUGCUUUUUAGACUUUGAGCCACACAUUUAUUAUUUACUGCUUAUGAGCAUUGAGUGUGGUCAAGCUGUGUAGACCCUUAGGAGCUUGUCAUGUGGUUAAAUCAAGAUUCACUUGCACGUUCACUCAUAUAUAUGCUACUUCUACUCCGGAAGUACCAUCCACAUAUAUCCAUUCAUUUCCAUCUCCAGAACCACCUAAAAAUAUUCUACUCCUAAUCCAGGAGAGAAUAACCAAAAAUAUUUCUAUUUUCCCCUUGUGAAAUAAAUGCUCAAGUUAUCUUGUUACUACCACUUGCUCAAGAGAUGAGUGCUCUAAAAAAAAUAUACGAGGAAAUAAAAAGGAGCAAGUGCUCGGAACCUCGAAAGAAAAGAAAAAGUGAGACGAGAGGUAAAAAUGGACAAGUGUCCGACAGUAGAAUUAGGGGUGCAAGAUACCCACCUGAGAGACAAAAGAAAAAAAAAGAAAGAAGAAGAAGAGCAUCUCAUUCUCCUCAUAAAGUUUCAAAAGCAAGGAAGGUAUGUAUCCCCUCAAAAGAGCAAAAGUAGAAUUAGACUUCCACCACCAUUGUUUUCACCAUUAUUAUCACAAUCAUCACCAUACACCAUUCAUUCGCCACACAUGCACAUCUUGAUUUGGCUUAUUGAUUUGUUUCUUUGGAUCCAUGGUUUGACUAUGCAAUAAAUGUCUUGUAAAUAUGUAUACUUUAUCUCCCACCUAUGAGCUCCAGAUAUUAAAGCCUUAUUAGAGUAGGGUGAGAGAGAAGGCAAUGUCACUAUGCCUCAUACCACAAAUACUACAUAUCUUGAGAGAAGGCAUAUACCAUCAAUGCCUUGGUAAGGAUCCAAAAAUACCACAAAAGAGAGACCUGAGAGAAUCAUACAAGGAAUUUCUGAGUUUUAUUUGAAAAUCUGCAAAAACCCCCAGAGCUAUAGCUGAUCAAGAAUAAGAGACAUGACACUUGACUAGACUGUUCUAUCUUUUAACUACUCAAGACAGAAGUGACAGUUACAAGUCCCAUGGUGAAGGUAAAGUAAGUAAGUUUUAAGUCUUGACAGUUUACUCUUACUCAGAGAUGAGAUCUUAUUUAAAAGCAUAUGUACCGUCAAAUUUUUUAAAAAAAUAUUGCAACAACUUAUGAUCCAUAGCUGAGUCUAUCUUUGCUCAGGGACGAGCAAGAGGUAAGCUUGGGGGAGUUUGUUGACGGUCCUUAAGUAUCAAAUUUAAUUAUCAAAUAAAUAAAGAAAAGGAUCCAAAUGAAAUCAAGAUCUAGACUUAGGGUUUUAUCUGACAGAAUUCCACGAGUUUUGGUGUUUGUCUAUUUCUGCAGGGGGUUAUCAGGAAAUAUGGAAGAAAGGCCCACAUGUCAGGAUUAUGUAAAGAUAUUAACGUGCUGCGCAAUUAUCUUACAUCUAGAAGACUCCAGAAGCCACGAGACCGAAGCGGAGGCGAAACGGGGCCUGACCCUGGGCGGCCGCCCAGUUGGUCAGGGCACCCGCCCUGCCCCUGAGUCCAAUUAGGACUCUGCUUUGCGGGAGAUCUCCACCGACCUAAAGGAUGAAUCUAAACCGUACAAUCUAUGUCGGUUUGAUCCAAGGGCCCAUAUUCACUUGGAGGGACUAUAAAACCAGACCCCCUGGCCCCUGGAGGAGGGAGCCUCUCAACCCUAAUUCAUUGUUCCAUCAAGGGAGAAGAAGCCUCUGAUCAAGAUUAGAGCCACCACAUCAAUUAGAUAUCUAGAUUAGCAUAGCUACAUAGG